rnacentral:rRNA from 1 species
AGAGUUUGAUCCUGGCUCAGAACGAACGCUGGCGGCGUGCUUAACACAUGCAAGUCGUACGAGAAAGAGUCCUUCGGGGCUUAAGUAAAGUGGCGCACGGGUGAGUAACGCGUGGGUAAUCUACUUUUAAGACUGGGAUAACAUCUCGAAAGGGGUGCUAAUACCGGAUAAGACCACGAAGUCUGAGGGCUAUGUGGUAAAAGAUGGUGGCUUGACUGCUAUCACUUAGAAAUGAGCCUGCGUACCAUUAGCUUGUUGGUAGGGUAAUGGCCUACCAAGGCGACUAUGGUUAGCUGGUCUGAGAGGAUGAUCAGCCACACUGGAACUGGAACACGGUCCAGACUCCUACGGGAGGCAGCAGUGGGGAAUUUUGCGCAAUGGGGGAAACCCUGACGCAGCAACGCCGCGUGAGUGAUGAAGGUUUUCGGAUUGUAAAGCUCUGUCAGUUGGGAAGAAAAUCUAUGUUAACUGCAUAGUCUAUGACGGUACCAACAGAGGAAGCACCGGCUAACUCCGUGCCAGCAGCCGCGGUAAUACGGAGGGUGCAAGCGUUGUUCGGAUUUACUGGGCGUAAAGAGCGUGUAGGCGGCUUUAUAAGUCAGGUGUGAAAGCCCUCGGCUUAACCGAGGAAGUGUA